UUCGACUUGCUCCCGAUGGCGGUGUGUCAGUCACUGAAUGUGCUGACUGACACACCGCCAUCGGGAGCAAGCCCCC
rnacentral:misc_RNA from 1 species